CGCGUAGGCGGUCCAGCAAGUCGGGUGUGAAAGCCCUCGGCUUAACCGAGGAAGUGCAUUCGAAACUACUGGACUUGAGUACCGGAGAGGGUCGCGGAAUUCCCGGUGUAGAGGUGAAAUUCGUAGAUAUCGGGAGGAACACCAGCGGCGAAGGCGGCGACCUGGACGGAUACUGACGCUGAGGCGCGAAAGCGUGGGGAGCAAACA
rnacentral:rRNA from 1 species